AGAGUUUGAUCCUGGCUCAGAAUCAACGUUGGCGGCGCGCUUAACACAUGCAAGUCGAACGAGAAAGUGGAGCAAUCCAUGAGUAAAGUGGCAGACGGGUGAGUAACACGUGGGUAUCCACUCUUUGGUGGGGAAUAACUCUGGGAAACCGGAGCUAAUACCGCAUAAGUCCGAGAGGAGAAAGACGAAAGUCGUCGAAGAAGGAGCCCGCGGCUGAUUAGCUAGUUGGUGAGGUAAUGGCUCACCAAGGCGUAGAUCGGUAGCCGGCCUGAGAGGGCACACGGCCACACUGGCACUGAGACACGGGCCAGACUCCUACGGGAGGCAGCAGUGGGGAAUCUUGCACAAUGGGGGAAACCCUGAUGCAGCGACGCCGCGUGAGCGAUGAAGCCCUUCGGGGUGUAAAGCUCUUUCGGCAGGAACGAUUAUGACGGUACCUGAAGAAGAAGCUGCGGCUAACUACGUGCCAGCAGCCGCGGUAAUACGUAGGCAGCAAACGUUGUUCGGAGUUACUGGGCGUAAAGAGUACGUAGGCGGUUUGCCAAGUUUGGUGUGAAAUCUCCUGGCUUAACUGGGAGGGUGCGCCGAAUACUGGCGAGCUUGAGUGUUGGAGAGGGGAGCGGAAUUCCUGGUGUAGCGGUGAAAUGCGUAGAUAUCAGGAGGAACACCGGUGGUGUAGACGGCUCCCUGGACAACCACUGACGCUGAGGUACGAAAGCGUGGUAGCAAACAGGAUUAGAUACCCUGGUAGUCCACGCCCUAAACGAUGCAAACUUGGUGUAGGCAGUUCAGUCUGUCUG
rnacentral:rRNA from 1 species